UACGUAGGUGGCGAGCGUUAUCCGGAUUUAUUGGGCGUAAAGUGAGCGCAGACGGUUUUUCAAGUCAGAUGUUAAAUUUCUCGGCCUAACCGGGUAAGUGCAUUUGAUACUGUUAAACUAGAGGACAACAGAGGGAGGUAGAAUUCCCGGUGUAGUGGUGGAAUGCGUAGAUAUCGGGAGGAAUACCAGUGGCGAAGGCGGCCUCCUGGGUUGUUUCUGACGUUCAUGCUCGAAGGUGUGGGGAG
rnacentral:rRNA from 1 species